rnacentral:rRNA from 1 species
AUGCAUUGGUAUACAUGGUGGAAACUUUGCUACCCCGAAUGUGAGGGUGGUAUGGGGUUUCGUGAUCUGUACUCUUUCAAUCUGGCUAUGCUAUCUAAACAGAUUUUGAGAUUGAUAACCAACCCAGACUCUUUGUGUGCGAGAGUGUUGAAGGCAAAAUACUUUCCAAAUAAUUCGUUGCUUCAAGCCACCUUAAAGAAUGGAGCAUCGUUUACCUGGCAGAGCAUCAUGAAAGGUCUGGAAACUUUCAAACUGGGUUACAUUUGGCGAAUUGGUACAGGCGAGAAUGUGCAAAUUUGGUCUGAUCCGUGGAUCCCGCUGAGUCCGGACAGGCGAGUUGUGUCGCCGAGGGGGCAAACUCUGUUGGCUAAGGUAAAUGACCUCAUUGAUCCAAUGACGUGGAAGUGGGAUGAGGGGUUAAUUCGAUCAAUAUUCAAUCAUGUGGACACCACUAGAAUUCUCCAAAUCCCACUCAACUAUGGUGCAUUUGAUGACUUUAUAGCUUGGCACCCGGAACAGCAAGGGUUUUUUUCUGUUAAAUCAGCAUGUCGGGUACAGUGGAUUCAUACUUUUCAGAACCAUGCAAACAUAAUGGGUCACCCAGGAGGGUCUGCAGCACCGGCAGUAUGGAGAAUGCUAUGGAAGCAAAAAGUCCCUCGUAAAAUUCAGAUUUUUGGAUGGAUGGCAUUACAUGGAAUGAUCCCUUUAAAGUCGAUUCUCGUUAACAGACAUGUGGGAGGGAAUGGAGCUUGUCCUAUUUGCCAUCAAGCAGCAGAAGAUAUCUGCCAUCUCUUGUUUGAAUGUGUCAAUGCAAGAGAACUCUGGGAGCGACUCGGCAUGACUAGCAUUAUUCAGGAUGCUUUGUGGAUCGAUCGAUCGGGAUCGGUAGUCCUGGAGCACUUACUCCUUCAGCCAGAGAUGAUGCUUGCGAUCAAAACGAACCUAUCGGUGAAGCAAGUCCUUUUGGUGGCAUGCUGGUACUUGUGGUGGAUACGAAGUGAAUUGACACAUGAUGGAAAGCCACCACCUGCUACGUGA